CAGCUAUGAGCCAAACUUGGGACGUUUGGUUUUUAGCAGGUGGAGAGACCGUCUGGGCAGCAGAAACAAGACAACUAAUCAUAGUCAUUCUGUUCUCCUGGUUGUGAGGAUGUGCAGAGGCUGUAUUUGUCAGUGUUAAAAGACUAUCCAGACAUACAAGCAGCCGACAAAGAGUUCUGGAGCAGGACAGACAGGGCAGCACGGUGGCGCAGAGGGUAGCACGUUUGCCUCACAGCAAGAAGGUCGCUGCUUCGAGCUUCGGCUGGAUUGGUGUACGCUGAUGGUCUGCUGAGAAUUCUGCUGAGUUGAAGGGAUCCUCCUUUCAGACAACCUCUCCAAAGUAGAACAGGACUAGGUUCCCACAACAAGGAUUAGAUUUGGCUACUGCAGUCCCGGUUUGGGCCAGCCUCACUUGUGAAGACUAAAGUUGAAGACAACAUACAAGAACAAUUUAGAGGAUGGCAACACACUUUUUAUUCCACCUAUUUAUCCCCUUUUAUGUGUAAGCAACAUUCCACAAGAUAAAACAAAACUAAAUGACAGGUUAUAUCUUUUAAUUUUAUCUGUUUUCUUGGAACAUUGUACACAAUUUAC